GACGAACGCUGGCGGCGUGCUUAACACAUGCAAGUCGAACGGUGAAAGCGGAGCUUGCUCCGCUGGAUCAGUGGCGAACGGGUGAGUAACACGUGGGCAACCUGCCCCUCACUUCGGGAUAACCCCGGGAAACCGGGGCUAAUACCGGAUAUGACCUCCUUGGGCAUCCUUGGAGGUGGAAAGUUUUUCGGUGGGGGAUGGGCCCGCGGCCGAUCAGCUUGUUGGUGAGGUAGUGGCUCACCAAGGCGACGACGGGUAGCCGGCUCUGAGAGGGCGACCGGCCACACUGGGACUGAGACACGGCCCAGACUCCUACGGGAGGCAGCAGUGGGAAUAUUGCGCAAUGGGCGAAAGCCUGACGCAGCAACGCCGCGUGCGGGAUGACGGCCUUCGGGUUGUAAACCGCUUUCAGCAGGGAAGAAGCCGCAAGGUGACGGUACCUGCAGAAGAAGCACCGGCUAACUACGUGCCAGCCGCCGCAGUAA
rnacentral:rRNA from 1 species